CCUCUAGGUGGUCACAAAGCACUGAGCUGAUCUCCCUGUGCCAUGCGGCUGCUUCCCACUAGCUAUCUAUUUUACAUUUGGUAUUAAACUCAAUGGCUUUUCCUUCUUUUCCUUACUCCUGUUCUUUUCUAUUCAUUUUUCCUAAGAGAGUGCCCCAAAACUUCAAGCUCAAUAAGCCUAAUUGUGAAAAAUAACUGACUGUAAUGGUAUAAUGAAGUUCUUCAUUUCCAUACAUCUCUUAAUGAUUUUAAAAGUUAUUUGAAUCUAUGCACCUGAACAAAGACCCAUUAAAAAUGAAGAAUUUUAAAUUUUUACAACUGUUCGACUUCUUUCAAUUUUAAAGGAUUUGAGAUCUAUAUAUUUUAAUAAAAGUAUCAAGUGAAACACAACCACUUGGGAGUUCAAUCAUGUGCAUAUUAUAUUGUUUUAUUUACUCUUAACAUUUAAUUUACAACUAUCCUUAUUUAUAUCGACCUUAAGAACUCCACUUCAUGCAAUGCAAACUGAGAUAUAUUUUGAAAGAAAUAUAAAACUAGCAUUCUUUCAGAUCAUUUCCCUUUUCUCUUAUAAUUCCUCAAUGGUAAAUUUAUUAUGGGUAACUAAUUAUCCAUGUUCAUAUUUCAUUAAUUCUAAGACAUCCACUUUUUAAUUUAACAUCUCUAAAAUGUAUCUUACAGUUGUUGACCUCUUAAUGCAGUGUUUGAAGUUUUGCUUAAAUAAACAUUAUAUUAAUUUAUCUUUAACCAAAUGUUCAUGGGUAUAGGGACAUUCAUUUUUGUAUAAAUAUUUAAUAACACAUUUAUGAUAACAUGUGAAGUCAGUUUUCAGUACAUCUGGAUCACAUACAACUCAACAUGGAGCCUAACCAUCUGAUUAUGAGUUCAAAUCCUGUAGACCUUUAGGUUAUAAAAGCUCUUUCAGCCUCCUACUUAUGCUUUACGCUAGUGGCUACAAUUUCAGCGAACCCUAACCUAACUGACAAGAAUGAGUGAGUUUCUCCCAGGUUUGUUAACAAAUUUUUAUUCUUUCUAUUACUUCCUAAAGAAUACUUGCAUAUGAUCAUCUCACUUUUAGACAGAAUUAACUGGAAAAAUAUUACAUAAAACCAUCAGAUUUAGAUUUUGCAUAUUUAGGUUUUGCAGCAUCUUGUAUGUUGUAUGUCAAUGACAGGAGAAAAAUAUAUAACCAAUCAGUGUUGUAGGAAAACUUUCCUUUCAAGUUCUCUUACAUUUUUAUUCUUUAUCAUUUCUGUUCUUUUGUUUGACUUUUUUCUUUGGCUCUGAUAAAUUCACCUUAAGCCCAUGUAACAACUGUCAUAAAACUGCAUAUUUAAAUUAUUUGACUUAUAUGAAACAAUUGUUCAGCUAUCUGGGCAGCUGUUAAUGAAAUAUCUGAGAGUAAUAACACUACUCUUUUAUCUACCUGGAUUACUUUUUCCCACAAAAAUUUACCUUUGUAAGGUAAUUCUAUUAAUCAGGUUUCUAACCUCCAUAACCUAUUUCAGUUAAAAUCAUCUAAUCCAACAAUAAAAAAACCCAAAACACUGCAGUCAUCAAGGAUGGAAAUUGUAUGACUUGUGUAAAAAAUCUUUACUAACUUUACACUGUACAACAGAUAAAUGUGAUUUUGAUAACAAUUCCACACAAUAAGUAUGGCACAUAGAUUUUAUUAAUAUUGAAUAUAAAAUAUUUUAAUUCUAAAUUAAAAUAAAAUAUAAAUUUGCACAUAUUAAUAUAGAAAUUCAUUUGGUGUAUAUUUAACAUAACUUUAAAACCAUUUUACAUUUACCAGCUACUUCAUUAAAGUUUUUUAAAUGUCUGCAAAAAAAGUAGAAAUGUUUUUAAAUUUCAGUAAUAUAACCUAUGUGUUUCAUUUAAGUCCUGCCUUUGUAAAAAAAAAUUUUUUAAUAUAGAGUGUAUUUUUAAAUUAAAAUAUUUGAAUAUAAAAUAGUUCUAAGAAAGAAACUAUUUCUCAUUAAGCAAGUUUCUUAUUAUUUCUGGCUUUGAAUUAUACAUAAAUUUAAAUUGCCUUAAAUGACAUAGAAGAUCGGGGAAUACGAUGAUUUCACAUUGUAUACUAUGAGCCUGUUCAUAUAAUUCUGAUUGACUACUAACUUUGGUUUAUGUAUUUAUUAAAGAGCUGACACUGUAGUUUGUUGAGAUGUUUAUUUUUAUAACAGAGCUUAUAACAGUUAUGACAAGGCAUUUAAUUAAUGCAUCAUUCUGUUUAAAAGUAGGUGUUAACCAAUAUGAAAUUCUAUGUUUUAAAAUAAAAAUGUAAAGAUCUAA